rnacentral:rRNA from 1 species
UGGUAAUGCCGGAUGUUCCACAUGAGCGCAUGCGAGUGUGGGAAAGGCUUUUUGCGGCAUGGGAUGGGGUCGCGUCCUAUCAGCUUGUUGGUGGGGUAACGGCCUACCAAGGCGUUGACGGGUAGCCGGCCUGAGAGGGCGACCGGCCACAUUGGGACUGAGAUACGGCCCAGACUCCUACGGGAGGCAGCAGUGGGGAAUAUUGCACAAUGGGCGCAAGCCUGAUGCAGCGACGCCGCGUGCGGGAUGGAGGCCUUCGGGUUGUAAACCGCUUUUGUUCAAGGGCAAGGCACGGUCUUUGGCCGUGUUGAGUGGAUUGUUCGAAUAAGCACCGGCUAACUACGUGCCAGCAGCCGCGGUAAUACGUAGGGUGCAAGCGUUAUCCGGAUUUAUUGGGCGUAAAGGGCUCGUAGGCGGUUCGUCGCGUCCGGUGUGAAAGUCCAUCGCUUAACGGUGGAUCCGCGCCGGGUACGGGCGGGCUUGAGUGCGGUAGGGGAGACUGGAAUUCCCGGUGUAACGGUGGAAUGUGUAGAUAUCGGAAAGAACAC